GACGAACCUUGCUAACGUUAUUCGGAAUUACUGGGCGUAAAGGGCGCGUAGGCGGCCUGUUAAGUCGAACGUGAAAUCCCCGGGCUCAACCCGGGAACUGCGUCCGAUACUGGCAGGCUUGAAUUCGGGAGAGGGAUGUGGAAUUCCAGGUGUAGCGGUGAAAUGCGUAGAUAUCUGGAGGAACACCGGUGGCGAAGGCGGCAUCCUGGACCGAUAUUGACGCUGAUGCGCGAAAGCCAGGGGAGCAAACGGG
rnacentral:rRNA from 1 species